rnacentral:rRNA from 1 species
GACGAACGCUGGCGGCGUGCCUAAUACAUGCAAGUCGAACGAGAGCGACCGGUGCUUGCACUGGUCAAUCUAGUGGCGAACGGGUGAGUAACACGUGGGUAACCUGCCCAUCAGAGGGGGAUAACAUCCGGAAACGGAUGCUAAUACCGCAUAAGUCUUCGAACCGCAUGGUUUGAAGAGGAAAAGAGGCGCAAGCUUCUGCUGAUGGAUGGACCCGCGGUGCAUUAGCUAGUUGGUGAGGUAACGGCUCACCAAGGCCGUGAUGCAUAGCCGACCUGAGAGGGUGAUCGGCCACAUUGGGACUGAGACACGGCCCAAACUCCUACGGGAGGCAGCAGUAGGGAAUCUUCCGCAAUGGACGCAAGUCUGACGGAGCAACGCCGCGUGAGUGAAGAAGGUUUUCGGAUCGUAAAACUCUGUUGUUAGAGAAGAACAAGUGCUAGAGUAACUGUUAGCGCCUUGACGGUAUCUAACCAGAAAGCCACGGCUAACUACGUG